GUGAAUCAUCAAAUUUUUGAACGCAAAUUGCACUCUCUUCGGAGAGUAUGCCUGUUUGAGGGUCAGCCUAAAAAAAACGGCGGUAUCGCUUGUUCUCCGGUGCAUUCUCCGGGAAUUUGGGUCACUUUAAACUUUUGGGUUUUUUAGCUGCUUUAAAUUUUCUUUACGGAUCCAACGACCGUCCUAAAGAUUUACUUAUUACUCACAGGUAAUGUAUCUAUCUUGAUGAGACGUUUC
rnacentral:misc_RNA from 1 species